UACGGGGGGGGCAAGCGUUGUUCGGAAUUACUGGGCGUAAAGGGCUCGUAGGCGGCCAACUAAGUCGGACGUGAAAUCCCUCAGCUUAACUGGGGAACUGCGUCCGAUACUGGAUGGCUUGAGUUUGGGAGAGGGAUGCGGAAUUCCAGGUGUAGCGGUGAAAUGCGUAGAUAUCUGGAGGAACACCGGUGGCGAAGGCGGCAUCCUGGACCGGCAUUGACGCUGAGGCGCGAAAGCUAGGGGAGCAAACGGG
rnacentral:rRNA from 1 species